GACGAACGCUGGCGGCGUGCUUAACACACGCAAGUCGAACGGUGAAGCGCUUGCCUUUUUGGUGGGUGUGGAUGAGUGGCGAACGGGUGAGUAACACGUGAGUAACCUGCCCUCUUCUUCUGGAUAACCUCAUGAAAGUGGGGCUAAUACGGGGUAUUCCGGGUCUGUCGCAUGGCGGGUUUGGGAAAGAUUGCGCCUUUGGGUGUUUUCGGUGGGGGAUGGGCUCGCGGCCUAUCAGCUUGUUGGUGGGGUGAUGGCCUACCAAGGCGGUGACGGGUAGCCGGCCUGAGAGGGUGGACGGCCACACUGGGACUGAGACACGGCCCAGACUCCUGCGGGAGGCAGCAGUGGGGAAUAUUGCACAAUGGGCGCAAGCCUGAUGCAGCGACGCCGCGUGAGGGAUGGAGGCCUUCGGGUUGUGAACCUCUUUCGCCAGUGAAGCAGGCCUGCUCCUGUGUGGGUGGGUUGACGGUAGCUGGAUAAGAAGCGCCGGCUAACUACGUG
rnacentral:rRNA from 1 species